UACGAAGGGGGCUAGCGUUGUUCGGAAUCACUGGGCGUAAAGGGCGCGUAGGCGGAUUGUUAAGUCAGGGGUGAAAUCCUGGAGCUCAACUCCAGAACUGCCUUUGAUACUGACGGUCUUGAGUUCGGGAGAGGUGAGUGGAACUGCGAGUGUAGAGGUGAAAUUCGUAGAUAUUCGCAAGAACACCAGUAGCGAAGGCGGCACUCUGGGCCGGUACUGACGCUGAGGAGCGAAAGCAUGGGGAGCGAACAGG
rnacentral:rRNA from 1 species